GGACGCAGACAUCAUUACCUUUGCUGAAUAGGGUUAAUCUAGUCCAGUGACUGACAUGGUCAACAGACUUCUUCAAACUGAGCUAGUGAGGUGUUGGGCACCUUUUGCAGUACUGGGAAUUGAACCCAGCGCCUUUGCACUGAGCUAUAUCCUCAGCCCCCCACCCACCCACUUUUCUGUUUUUGACACAGGGUCUUGCUAAGUUGCCCAAGAUGGGCUUGUACUUGUGAUCCUGCCUCAGCCUCCCAGACUGCUGGAUUACAGGUGUUUACUGUAAUAUAUCCAGCUUCUUUGGUGACUUCUUAAAAAUGAAGCUCAAAAAAGGCAGUUGUCUUCUGGAAUUUGGCAUUUUCUGGAUGUGACAGAAUUUUGUGAGCAUCCCACAGACUGAAGGCAGAGCUAAGAGAAUCUCAAAAAAGCCCUGGCAUAGUACACCCUACCUCUGCACAUCUUGAGAUUUUUCCAUACCACCUAACCAUUUUGAGUAAGGCUUUUUGGUUAUUUGAAACUAAAGUAUGAAUGUGAGUCUCCUCUCUGGACUUGGUCUUUACUUAGCUUAACCCAACUCGGUUCCCGUGUCCCAUCUGCGAGGACUCCAAACCAUGGUUUACUUUUCACUGUGGCAUUUAAGAUCAGGAGAAUUUUAUGUAUGUGGUUGAAACUGAUCCAUGGGCCAACCGAGGCAUACUGGGUAAGGAAAGGUUAAGUGAGUAUAGUUUUGGGGAGCUAUUUUUGAUUGCUUAUAAUUUAUUACACUAAGUUCUGUAAGCAUUAAGAGAUGAAAUCUUGGAAUCUAGCAGUAGUGUGUUGGAUUUUCAAGAGUAGCUGUUUAGUGUGAAAUGAGGCUUACCAGCCCAAGAGCCUUGAUUUUUAAAAAUUCUUUUCAUUUAUAUUUGGAUGUUUAUGAAAUACAUGUUCUAUGUACUGUUUUAGACAAUAACUUGAGUCUUCUGAGAAUAGGAGCAGUAUAAAUUAGGAAUUUUUUGUCAUUUCUCUUUGGGGAGAAGGAAGGAAAGGAUGAAGUACGGUUUGUAUUGACUGGAAUGGUUCUUAAUCUAAUGUUUAUGAAAGUGGAUUUCAUUUGAAUAAAUUUUUGAAGUGAU
ensembl:lncRNA